rnacentral:sRNA from 1 species
UUUUUUUUUCCUCCUU